AUUGAACGAUGGCGGCAGGCAUAACACAUGCAAGUCGAACGAGUGGCGGACGGGUGAGUAAUGUCUGGGAAACUGCCCGAUGGAGGGGGAUAACUACUGGAAACGGUAGCUAAUACCGCAUACCAUCGGAUGUGCCCAGAUGGGAUUAGCUAGUAGGUGGGGUAACGGCUCACCUAGGCGCCGAUCCCUAGCUGGUCUGUGAGGAUGACCAGCCUCACUCUAACUGCUACACGGUCCAUACUCCUACCGGAGGCAGCAGUGUGGAAUACUUGACAAUGGGCGCAAGCCUGAUGCACCCAUGCCGCGUGUAUGAAGAAGGCCUUCGGGUUGUAAAGUACUUUCAGCGAGGAGGCGUUACUCGCAGAAGAAGCGCCGGCUAGCUCCGUGCCAGCCGCCGCGGUAAUUC
rnacentral:rRNA from 1 species